GAUGAACGCUGGCGGCGUGCCUAAUACAUGCAAGUCGAACGAUCCGCCUUUGGCGGAUAGUGGCGAACGGGUGAGUAACACGUUGGUACCUACCCCGAAGUGGGGAACAACUGCCCGAAAGGGUGGCUAAUACCGCAUAAUACCGCAAGGUUAAAGCAGUAAUGCGCUUCGGGAGGGGCCUGCGUCCCAUUAGCUAGUUGGUAGGGUAAUGGCCUACCAAGGCGACGAUGGGUAGCUGGAUCGAGAGGUUGACCAGCCACACUGGGACUGAGAUACGGCCCAGACUCCUACGGGAGGCAGCAGUAAGGAAUCUUCCACAAUGGACGAAAGUCUGAUGGAGCAACGCCGCGUGCAGGAUGACGGCCUUCGGGUUGUAAACUGCUUUUAUAUGGGAAGAUUAUGACGGUACCAUAUGAAUAAGGACCGGCUAACUACGUGCCAGCAGCCCAGUAA
rnacentral:rRNA from 1 species